rnacentral:tRNA from 1 species
GUCCCUAUCGUCCAGAGGCCUAGGACGCAGCCCUUUCAAGGCUGUAACACGGGUUCGAAUCCCGUUGGGGACGCCA